rnacentral:lncRNA from 1 species
UUCAUUUUGUGGGAGAGGACUAGAUUGUAUAAACACAUUUACAUAUGCCAGAUACAAAUGCAGGACAUUAUUCGCCCCUUAUUAACAGUACAUUCUGCUAGUGUCAAGAAGAGGCUUACAGAAAGAUAUAAAGUAUCAUCAUCAAAUAGUAACUAAUGGUUUAGUAAACAUCAUUAUUAUUUCAUAUACAGCAUAACCUGAUAGAAAAAAAUGUAAACUUUAAAGCUACAGUUCUGUGUUCUGUAUUUCGCCUUGUUUGUUCUCCUUUCAACUUCCCUAUCAGCUUUUAACAUCAAUCAAAAAAUCCAUCCUUUUCCAGAUGAAUAAUGAUCUCCUGCUGACUGUCAUGUCUGUCUGAAGAACAAGAAAUGUGAUGAAGCUGACUGACCCUGUGGCACCUCUUUUCUCUAGAGCACAUAUCAUGGAUAUUCAGGUGCUUUUACCAACAGUUACCUAUGAAAAUGUUUGCGGAAAGCAGAGGACUGUGUGAAAUGUUUCUGAAUAACUCUCAUUCCUUUUGCCAUCUGAAGGAUUGCCCAUGAAGAAUAUAUCUGGGCAUUUACACUACCACUGUUAUAGGAAGAGAGAAGGUUUCUGUGGGUCUGUCAGUGGCUCAGGAAUGAUGUUUUGUAGACAGUUAAAUGUUCAUCACUGCAUUGUGGAGAGAGACUACCUACUGGCACUCUUCCGAUCAGGGUGCGCUCUUCGGCAGCUGCUGGGCUUUCAGCUUGCACUGGUGUGA